UGAAAUGAGUUUGACGGGAAAGAAGUAAAAUAAAAGAAUUAGAUUUUGAUUUUGUUUUAAUUUUAGUCAGCAAUUAAUUACGUGGCAAAAUAAUCCACAUAAGCUCCAACUCAUCACUCCGGCGGCCGGAAAAAAUUGGGGGGACAAAAUUGCAAAAAUUGAAAAGGUUAUGAUUUAAUUCACCACACUUCAAAAGUCACGUUAAAAUUGCAAAUUCGAAAUUGUUCGUGAUUUUAUUUGCAAAAACCCCUAAUAUUUACUUUGUAAUGUUUGGAUUUUAUUGGAUAAAUAGUCAAAAUUAUUUUUAUAAAUUCAAAUGAGUUCGAGGAGUCGUCGGGUAUUACUUUGUGGAUUUGAGAUGAGAAAGAGUAAUUAGUUAUUAAUGCUUACUUUGU
rnacentral:lncRNA from 1 species